rnacentral:rRNA from 1 species
UACGUAGGGUGCGCGCGUUGUCCGGAAUUAUUGGGCGUAAAGAGCUUGUAGGCGGUCUGUCGCGUCUGCUGUGAAAAUCCGGGGCUCAACCCCGGACUUGCAGUGGGUACGGGCAGACUAGAGUGUGGUAGGGGAGACUGGAAUUCCUGGUGUAGCGGUGAAAUGCGCAGAUAUCAGGAGGAACACCGAUGGCGAAGGCAGGUCUCUGGGCCACUACUGACGCUGAGAAGCGAAAGCAUGGGGAGCGAACAGG